rnacentral:rRNA from 1 species
GAUGAACGCUGGCGGCGUGCCUAAUACAUGCAAGUCGAGCGAGCAGACGAGGAGCUUGCUCCUCUGACGUUAGCGGCGGACGGGUGAGUAACACGUGGAUAACCUACCUAUAAGACUGGGAUAACUUCGGGAAACCGGAGCUAAUACCGGAUAAUAUAUUGAACCGCAUGGUUCAAUAGUGAAAGACGGUUUUGCUGUCACUUAUAGAUGGAUCCGCGCCGCAUUAGCUAGUUGGUAAGGUAACGGCUUACCAAGGCAACGAUGCGUAGCCGACCUGAGAGGGUGAUCGGCCACACUGGAACUGAGACACGGUCCAGACUCCUAUGGGAGGCAGCAGUAGGGAGUCUUCCGCAAUGGGCGAAAGCCUGACGGAGCAACGCCGCGUGAGUGAUGAAGGUCUUCGGAUCGUAAAACUCUGUUAUUAGGGAAGAACAAAUGUGUAAGUAACUAUGCACGUCUUGACGGUACCUAAUCAGAAAGCCACGGCUAACUACGUG